UACUUCCACUGCAGUGUUGUGAUAUGUGAUUCAAACCGGCCAUCAGACAGCCUCUGUAGCAGACGGUGCAUUCCAGGAAAACAGAGGCUUGGUCGCAGUGCUGAAGGGAUGGAUGGUGGUGCAGUAAAGGCAUUUGUGUCUUCUGGCCCAAUUGAGCGGAAGAGAGAUGGAUCCCUUCACUUUAUGCCUAGAAGCGCCCAAGUCAAUGUGUGGUCCCUUCUGGGAGCUGCAGUGGGUGUGUGUUCAGUGGUUGUCUUUGUAGCUGGAGUUGUAUAUUUUUGGAAAAUGCCCAAAAGUGUGUAUUGAUAAAUAAAAAUCUUGCUUGUAAAGAC